ensembl:misc_RNA Metazoa_SRP Metazoan signal recognition particle RNA
GCUGGGUGUGGUGGCGCACACCUGUAAUCCCAGCUACUCAGGAGGCUGAGGCGGGAGAAUUGCUUGAACCCAGGAGGCGGAGGUUGCAGUGAGCCAAGAUUGCACAAUUGCACUCCAGCCUGGGCAACAGAGCAAGACUCGGUCUCAA